GAUGAACGCUGGCGGCGUGCCUAAUACAUGCAAGUAGAACGCUGAAGGAGGAGCUUGCUCUUCUGGAUGAGUUGCGAACGGGUGAGUAACGCGUAGGUAACCUGCCUGGUAGCGGGGGAUAACUAUUGGAAACGAUAGCUAAUACCGCAUGACAACAGUUAUUGCAUGAUAACUGUUUAAAAGGGGCAACUGCUCCACUACCAGAUGGACCUGCGUUGUAUUAGCUAGUUGGUGAGGUAACGGCUCACCAAGGCGACGAUACAUAGCCGACCUGGGAGGGUGAUCGGCCACACUGGGACUGAGACACGGCCCAGACUCCUACGGGAGGCAGCAGUAGGGAAUCUUCGGCAAUGGACGGAAGGCUGACCGAGCAACGCCGCGUGAGUGAAGUAGGUUUUCGGAUCGUAAAGCUCUGUUGUAAGAGAAGAACGAGUGUGAGAGUGGAAAGUUCACACUGUGACGGUAUCUUACCAGAAAGGGACGGCUAACUACGUG
rnacentral:rRNA from 1 species